CGGGGUUGGCUCUAACGAAUUUGAAUGAGGAGCCUCAGCGCUUUCGGCGCCAUUUUCGAGUGAUGCCUGAUCUCAUCAAUCUAGCGGGUGAGGCGGGAUAACCUGUCCGAGAGUAUAUCGCCACUAGAACUCCACAGAAAAAUCACUAAAAAAAUCGCCAAAAAUUACUUCGAGCAAAGGGCAGUCAGCGGAGUUUCGCCAGGGUUGGCGCAGUCGGUUUUAACCUUUAGGACAGAGCCAGUUCUGGAGAACUUAACUUCUUUGAUUGAACACUCACAUAAUGCGUUGGAACAUGAUAGGAGAUUAAGGUUUAAUAAUGAUGAAAUGAAGACCAUAAUAUAACAGCCCCCUACUAAAUUUCAACAGUUCUUACCUUUCCUCCCUACUUAAUGAAGAUGUCUUUUGAAAGAUGUGUUUCAAGGAAUGAAGUGCCGUUUGUAAUUUAUGCUUUUGCCAAGGGUGCCCUAAUAGAAGAAAACGAGUAUUCAGAUUGCCAAGCCCUUCAAGAGCCAAGGUGUGAUGAUCUGAAGAAAAAAAAUACAACUUGCAUGUAUUUUGACACCACCAGUACCCGCCACCCCACCCCUAAAAAAGAUGAGAACUGACUAUAUCAUGGGUACCUAGACCACAUGGAGAAAGGACUGAGACCAGAAGCUGCAAGCAGACAUUGUACGGCGCAGAGCACCUGACAACAGCCCAAUCUACGUAAGGGCAAUAAAUGCCACAUGAGAUGAUCCCCUCAACACAAAACUUUACAUCUGACUCACAUGCCUGGCCUACUGACUUCUACUGUCUUUUCAUGACUCCUAUAUUAUGGAGGUAAGUCAAGAUUUAAUAUUGAUUAUAGUCAUGUAACAGUCAUUCUGAACUUGUAUUCCCUUAAAGUUCCUUUAAUUACUAAGCACUCUUGUAGCAUUGCAUUUUUAUUAACAAAUUAUGUAUAUUCCAAUUUUUGCUGGGCUAUUUUACUGAUUAAAUGUAUAAUUUUGUGUAACUUUCAACUAGUUUUUCUACAUAUAUCUAUAUUUUCAUCUCAUUUUUUAAUCACCAAAGUAAAUGUCUAGUAGAAAAAUACUAUGAUUUUUUUUCUGUUGUCUUUAAUCAGCUUUCAGACUCUGAAGUAUCCUUAUCCAUCUUUGAAUCUAUUGUAAUUCUUGUUUUCUAAGUGCCUGUUCACUGAGACUAUAGCAUUUGAAAUUUUUCAGUGCAGUUCAGUUCAGACUAUUAGAUGUCCAGCACUACAGGGGAUUGUAAAGAACAGUAUAAAGCACAGUCCCAGCCCUCAUAAGAACUCAUGGAACCUCAGAUAUUGAAGCCAGACUUUCUUGGGGACUUGAGAACCCAAAGAAAUUCAAAUUCUUACCAGAAUAUGAAAUGAUAGAGAGUAACAUGAAAUAGAAACACUUGGUAUUUUGUAUUUUACUCAACUGAUAGAGUAAAAAGGCACUUUAAAACAAUAAUUUCUAGAUUUGAGGUGUUGGUGCGAAAUCUGAAGGUGCAGAAUGCUGCCUACCUAAAAGCUCUAUAGUUAGAUGAAUCCUAGGUACAUUUUGGUUUUGGAACAAAGUCCUACUUACUUUUGCUGCAGGUUGUUGCUUUUUCAUUGUGCCAUGCUUAAUAUUCAUUUCCCAUUCACCAUGUAAGGUGUUAGUUUUUAUCCAUUUAAAGACUUUUAUGGUUAGAUCUAAUCAUUUAGGUAAAUAUUAAGGUACUUUGUAAGCUUAAUAAUUAGUUAUGAGGUGAUGAGUUUUCUUGGUGAAAUUUGUACAUAACUUUUCAUCUCUAGUAGGUCUAAUAGAAUGCCUAAUAAUUCUUGAGGUGUAGUUCUCUGGCAAAUUCUCUGAUGGAUAAUUAUGUUUUUUAAAACACUAAGUUUGAUGGCACAUUGUUCUCUUCCAUGGGUUCUUUGGCUCCAGGAAGGUAAUAAAAUUUCCUAAAUUAAAAAAAAUUUCCUCUUAUUAGUGGUUUCUACAUUGUUAAACUUGAUGUAACAGAAUCAACUUCUCCAGCAAAGAGGAAAAAUAACAGAAUACAGAAUAUUUACAGAGCUCUUAGCAAGUCUUUAUUAUCUCAGCAAGGUCUCUGGUGAUAUGAACAUUUCUAUUAUUUAUGAUAGAGAACAAUACAAAAACUUAUAAAGCAAAGCUGAAGUUUGUCAGAUGUAAACAGUAUAUAAGACAAAUUAGAAACAACUAUGAUUCCCUAAACCAUAUAUUUCUCAAACUGCUUUCCCUUGACUGUUUUAUAUUACUUAGGGCUCCCGAUUUCAGAUAUAUUUUGAAAGCAGCCUAAAUUAAUUCCGACUUUACCAAUACCUAAGAACUCUUUCUAAUUAUGACUUGUAUAUUAAAUCCAAGAGUAUUCAACAUUAGAGCUCCUUUUCAGAAAAUCUUUGUAGGGAGAACUUUCAGUUGUUUAAAAAAUAAAUUAUUGAGGUUUAAGAAUAAGCUAAAAUCUUCAGUGCCUUAUCAGAAGUGAAACUGUGGGUGAUGGAAAGAAGCUGAAACAAACAUUAGAGAAGUGCAAGAAUAGGGGAGGCCCAACUAUUGAUGGUACCAUUUAGACUGACAGAACCUUACCGUGUCAUUGUGAUGAUUCAUGCUUGUGUAUAUGAGGUAUAUGUUAUUUGAUGAACAAAGUUUUCAGCAUGGUUGGCCAAGAUAAAUUUCUGCCAUUAUUUUCUUACAAUUGCAAAUUAAAUUGACAAAUCAGUUCAUUGAAUUAAGUGGUGUCUAUAUGAAAAUGUUAGUCUUUUUUUUCUAAAGCAGACCAGAGUUUUUAAUUUGCCUGUGGUGCAUCUAACAUAUGUUUUCUUCAAACUACAUUUGCCUGCCUCCCUUUUUAAACAAGACUCAGUUUUUUGCAUGUCUUCACAUCCCAGUUACAAUGUCCCACUUAUUUUGGAGUGAACACCAGAGGAUUACUGAGACAAUCUUGACAGAUGUGUCUCCAGAUAAGAUAAUCUCUAAAAUAUUUACUAAAAUAAGCAACCUAAUCACUUUGAAAGUACACUUCCCCUAUUAUGAAUAUUUUUAAUUGUGGCAAUCUGUCUCCUUCUAAAAACCUCUGCAUUGUGAAAUCAUGGCUUUUGAGACACUAUUUAAUAAAAGGCUUAAGUUAUUUUAAUUUAAAACCAUUGUCAAUGGUUAUGAAUUGUAUUUGUAGUAAGCUCUAAGUGGGAAGGCAUUGUUUUGUUCCCUUGCAAUAUCUCCAAUGUCUAGAGUUGUAUUUGGCACACAGCAGAUGUCAAUAAAUAUUUAUUGAAUGAAUGAA